GAGGGUAUAGCUCAACGGUAGGUGCAUGCUUAGCAUGCGCAAGGCUCUGGGUUCAAUCCCCAGUACCUUCA
rnacentral:tRNA from 1 species